GCCGUUAGCGUUAGUUAGCACAAUUUCCAUUAGCAUUGCUUUUGUAGCCUACUGUUAGCUUUGCAUGUGAAAUAAUUGAGACAAACUACCGAUAAUUCGCCGUGAAAUAGUGGAUGGACCUGCUUGCUCAGUUAAUGUAUUUGAUUCAGGAGACGGACAUCUGUGACUGUGAACUGCUGUUUUCUGUUCUGGUGAUCUUCCUGCUGUGGUUUCUCCGGUGCUCUGCCUGCUGCCAUCGCCAAGUUCGCCUUUUUCAUAUAUCCCCUUGGCUAGGAUUCUGACUCCCCUCAUCCGCUCCAUCUACAACUUCCUGUAAGGGAGAUCAGAUUCUCCGAAACAGUGCUGAUCCAGUUCCACUUUUCCCGAGGAGGCUGCGGUGUCAUCCAUUGUUUUGAAAGGUGUCACUUGAUUGUCAACUCUCCAUCGCAGCCCUGCAUGGCAGUCAAGAAAAGAACCUCCUGAACCAUUCCUGCUUAACUCACCUCCACUGGACCUUGCAUAUUGUUUUCCAUCUCAACAUCAAACAUAUUGAACGAUACUCUAAAAUUUAUAUAUAAAUCGCCCAGUCCUACGUCAGCCCAAACUUACUUUUCCUGACACAUUUAACAUUAACUUGUACAUAAUUCAUCCCCAUACACUGGAGUAUGUCAUGAGUACAGAUGCCCAUCAAUACACUGUUGCAGGAUAGGUGAAUGACACCAACAUAUGGCACUUGAAGAAAAACUAAUGUCCAGUAUGUGAUAACAGGACAUGCUAGUCAUCAAUUAUCAACAGUGUAGCAAGUUGUUCGUUAAGGGCUAACAGCUGGUUAACAUUACGACAAAAACUAUUUGUUCGGCGUAUUCUCUGUGUACGCGGCGUGUGUAUCGCGUAUCCGUCUCCUCUAGCUGUUGUGGUUGAUAUGACGUAGGUCCGCUAGCUUUGACCAGACGCAAAAAUGGUGACAGCAAAGCACUGUGAUGUCACGUGGUCCUUUAUAAAUAUAUACCAGAAACUAUGCACAAAGGACUACUUCACCUGCUGCUGAAUUUUUGAUGUUAUUUAAUAAAUGUCAUUUUUAUGUCA